AUAAAUUGCCCCCAAUAUUGACUGCAAAACAUUUUAAAUAAGAUAUUUAUUGAAUUUUACGUGAAUGCAAUUCCAGUAAAAUCCUUUUUACAAAAUAAAAAUUGAAGUUUUUUUAAUUUGUGCAGAAACAAUUAUUUAUAUUAAAGACAAGAAGACCCUAUGAAUUUAUUAAAUUUUUAUUUAAUAUGUAAUUACUAUUAGAAAAAUUUUGGGUGGGGCGCGAUUAGAAAAGCAUAUAAACAAAAUAAAAAUACAAUACUCUCGUUAGUCAAGAAUUAGA
rnacentral:rRNA from 1 species